rnacentral:rRNA from 1 species
UACAGGGGGGGCAAGCGUUGUUCGGAAUUACUGGGCGUAAAGGGUUCGUAGGUGGCUCGCUAAGUCAGACGUGAAAUCCCUCAGCUUAACUGGGGAACUGCGUCUGAUACUGGAGGGCUUGAGUGCAGGAGAGGAACGCGGAAUUCCAGGUGUAGCGGUGAAAUGCGUAGAUAUCUGGAGGAACACCGGUGGCGAAGGCGGCGUUCUGGACUGCAACUGACACUGAUGAACGAAAGCCAGGGGAGCAAACGGG